rnacentral:misc_RNA from 1 species
UCCGAGUUGACCCCGGCAGUCUCCCACGAGUCCCCGGCAUAACCCGCUGGCAACGUAGGACAGGGGUUGCGCUCGUUGAUGGACUUAACCAAACAUCUCACGACACGAGCUGACGACGGCCAUGCAUCACCUGUCACUGCGCUCACAAGGCACAGUCUCCUUUCGGAGACCUUCGCAGGAUGUCAAGCCUGGGUAAGGUUCUUCGCUUAUCAUCGAAUUAAACAACACGCUCCACCGCUUGUGCGGGUCCCCGUCAAUUCCUUUGAGUUUUAGCCUUGCGGCCGUACUCCCCAGGCGGGAUACUUAAUGCGUUAGCUUCGGCACGGCAGUCAUUGGUAUAACCGCCACACCUAGUAUCCAUCGUUUACAGCGUGGACUAC